rnacentral:misc_RNA from 1 species
UCUCCGUAGGUGAACCUGCGGAGGGAUCAUUACAGAGUUCAUGCCCUCACGGGUAGAUCUCCCACCCUGUGUUAUUAUACCUUUGUUGCUUUGGCGGGCCGCCCUCGGCUACCGGCCCCGGCUGGUACGCGCCCGCCAGAGGACCCCAAACUCUGAAUGUUAGUGUCGUCUGAGUACUAUACAAUAGUUAAAACUUUCAACAACGGAUCUCUUGGUUCUG